rnacentral:rRNA from 1 species
CAAGAGCGUAUGUAAAAGUUGUUGCAGUUAAAAAGCUCGUAGUUGAACCUUGGGUUUGGUUGGCCGGUCCGCUUUUUUGCGAGUACUGGAUUCAACCGAGCCUUUCCUUCUGGCAAACCAGUCGUUUCGGCGGCUGGCGAACCAGGAUUUUUACUUUGAGAAAAUUAGAGUGUUCAAAGCAGGCAUUAGCUUGAAUAUAUUAGCAUGGAAUAAUAGAAUAGGACGUUAUGGUUCUAUUUUGUUGGUUUCUAGGACCAUCGUAAUGAUUAAUAGGGACGGUCGGGGGCAUCAGUAUUCAGUUGUCAGAGGUGAAAUUCUUGGAUUUACUGAAGACUAACUACUGCGAAAGCAUUUGCCAAGGACGUUUUCAUUAA